GAUGAACGCUGGCGGCGUGCCUAAUACAUGCAAGUCGAGCGAACAGAUGAGGAGCUUGCUCCUCUGACGUUAGCGGCGGACGGGUGAGUAACACGUGGAUAACCUACCUAUCCGACUGGGAUAACUUCGGGAAACCGGAGCUAAUACCGGAUAAUAUAUUGAACCGCAUGGUUCAAUAGUGAAAGACGGUUUUGCUGUCACUUAUAGAUGGAUCCGCGCCGCAUUAGCUAGUUGGUAAGGUAACGGCUUACCAAGGCGACGAUGCGUAGCCGACCUGAGAGGGUGAUCGGCCACACUGGAACUGAGACACGGUCCAGACUCCUACGGGAGGCAGCAGUAGGGAAUCUUCCGCAAAGGGCGAAAGCUUGACGGAGCAACGCCGCGUGAGUGAUGAAGGUCUUCGGAUCGUAAAACUCUGUUAUUAGGGAAGAACAAAUGUGUAAGUAACUAUGCACGUAUUGACGGUACCUAAUCAGAAAGCCACGGCUAACUACGUG
rnacentral:rRNA from 1 species